GACGAACGCUGGCGGCGUGCUUUAGACAUGCAAGUCGAACGAGAUCUUCGGAUCUAGUGGCGAACGGCGGAGUAAUACAUAAACAACGUGCCCUGAAGACUGGGAUAUACGGUCGAAAGGCCGAGCAAUACCGGAUGUGGCCGAGACUAGGCAUCUAGACUCGAUUAAAUGGUUUUUCGCUUCAGGAGCGGUUUAUGACUCAUCAGCUAGUUGGUAGGGUAAUGGCCUACCAAGGCUACGACGGGUAGGGGGUCUGAGAGGAUGAUCCCCCCGAGUGGGACUGAGACACGGCCCACACACCUACGGGUGGCAGCAGUUUGGAAUCUUGCCCAAUGGGGGAAACCCUGAGGCAGCGACGCCGCGUGGAGGAUGAAGGAUUUAGGUCUGUAAACUCCUUUUGCCAGGAAAGACUUAGGACGGUACCUGGCGAAUAAGCUCCGGCUAACUACGUGCCAGCAGCCGCGGUAAAU
rnacentral:rRNA from 1 species